CCUACGGGUGGCAGCAGUGGGGAAUAUUGGGCAAUGGAGGCAACUCUGACCCAGCAACGCCGCGUGAAUGAUGAAGGUCUUCGGAUUGUAAAGUUCCUUUUUAAGGGAAGAAAAAAGUGACGGUACCUUAGGAAUAAGCCUCCGCUAACUACGUGCCAGCAGCCGCGGUAAUCCGGAAGAGGCAAGCGUUAUCCGGAAUGACUGGUCGUAAAGGGUGCGUAGGUGGUUUGACAAGUUAGUAGCGCAACUCCGGAGCUCAACUUCGGAACUACUACUACAACUGUUGGACUUGAGUGCCGGGGGGGCAAGCGGAAUUCGUAGUGUAGCGGUGGAAUGCGUAGAUAGUAGGAGGAACACCGGUGGCGAAGGCAGAUUGCUAGACUGUAACUGACGCUGAGGCACGAAAGCGUGGGGAGCAAACAGGAUUAGAUACCCUUGUAGUC
rnacentral:rRNA from 1 species